GAGAGUGAGUUUUAUUUGCACACACACACAUGUAUAUUUACACAAGGUCCUGGAGAUGAAGGAGAGUGAGUUUUAUUUGCACACACACACACACACACACACACACACAUGCACAUACAGAAAGAUAUAUUUACACACACACACACAAACA